GUUUUUUAAACAUAGUUGAGUUAGGUUGGUCUCUAGGCUUAUAAGUAGUUUUUUUUUUCAGAUUUUAUAUCCCGUGUCAGCUAUAAACAGUAAAAAAUUAUUUAUAUACAUCCAGGUCAGAAGAACUACAGAUGUACUUUGUGUGACAAAUCUUUCACCCAAAAGGCUCACCUUGAGUCCCACAUGGUUAUCCACACGGGCGAGAAGAAUCUCAAGUGUGAUUACUGCGACAAGUUGUUCAUGCGGAGGCAGGACCUCAAGCAACACGUACUCAUCCACACACACAUUAUGCCAACUGGUGAAUAUACAGAGAUAAAAGACACAGACCUUGUCUUUAAAGAGCUCGAAGUCCGGUAAGAGAAGCAGAACAGUACAGCACUACCAUACCAUGCUGCAGUCAGAGUAAGCAUCAGAUCCUGAGAGGCUGUGGAAGAGGGUCACCGACCCGGCCAGGGUGUCUGGGAGAGCCUCCUGGUAGUCUGAGCUAAGUAUUAAAGAAGAUUAAGCUAGAAUUAUUUAGGGAGGCAGAGAAGGAUAAAGGAUGGGAAUAGUAUUCUAGACAGAGGAAAGGUAUAUUUAGAAAUACAUGUACGAGAAGGACUGUGGAAUGCAAGUGGUUCUUUACAGUUAGAGCACAGUGUGCAUGUGAGAACAAUGGAGAGAGAGGCGGCAGUAAAGUCAGGAGCCUUUUAUCCAACUAGGAAAAUUAAAUUUCAUUCUGGAGGUAAUGGGGAGCCACUGAAGGAUUUUA